rnacentral:misc_RNA from 1 species
AUGCUCAAGGCAAAUGGUAUAGUCCCUUAUAUGACAUAUACAAUGGUAUUGCGAUGGGAUAUCUCGGCUCUCGCAUCGAUGAAGAACGUAGCGAAAUGCGAUACCUGGUGUGAAUUGCAGAAUCCCGCGAACCAUCGAGUCUUUGAACGCAAGUUGCGCCCGAGGCCACUCGGCCGAGGGCACGCCUGCCUGGGCGUCACGCCAAAACACGCUCCCAACCACUCUCAACGUGAAUCGGGAUGCGGCAUCUGGUCCCUCGUCUCUCAAGGGACGGUGGACCGAAGAUUGGGCUGCCGGCGUACCGCGCCGGACACAGCGCAUGGUGGGCGUCCUCGCUUUAUCAAUGCAGUGCAUCCGGCGCGCAGCUGGCAUUAUGGCCUUUGA